rnacentral:rRNA from 1 species
UACGGGGGGGGGCAAGCGUUGCUCGGAAUGACUGGGCGUAAAGGGCGCGUAGGCGGCUUGUACAGUCAGAUGUGAAAUUCCUGGGCUCAACCUGGGGGGCUGCAUUUGAUACGUAUGGGCUUGAGUGGGGAAGAGGGUCGUGGAAUUCCCAGUGUAGAGGUGAAAUUCGUAGAUAUUGGGAAGAACACCGGUGGCGAAGGCGGCGACCUGGUCCUUUUACUGACGCUGAGGCGCGAAAGCGUGGGGAGCAAACAGG